UUUUGUUGAGCGACGAUUCGUCAUUUGAAAAAAGACAUCCUGCUGCAAAUCCUAGUGUUGCGAUUUCAGGAAGAUCCGCAAGUCCUCCAAAAACUCUGUCUAAUGACAGUAUGCAUAAUUUUCCAGCACUUAGCUGCUCUCAAAAAACAAAAUCUCCAGACGUUGCAUAUGCUUCGCAAACAGUUCCAAGCAGAACAUAAACAGGUAAAACUCCAGUCGUUCAAACUCCAGUUCUUGCGAGACAGAUAACUUUGAAAGAAACAUCAAUUGCCACUUCGCAAAUAAAUUCAGGACCAGCUCCUAGAUCAAUCGACUCAGAUCAGAGAAAUUGAAGACCGAGAGGUAGUAGAGCCGGUGUGGCGCGACAACAAGAAAGGUUUAUGAGAUUUUUAUAUAGAUUAUUGGCAGCACUAUAUAACUGGGGAUUUAGAAAAAGAAAAUAUACAAACAAAGAAUAGAAGAAA